rnacentral:rRNA from 1 species
UACGUAGGGGGCAAGCGUUGUCCGGAUUUAUUGGGCGUAAAGAGCGUGUAGGCGGCUUUGCAAGUCCGUUGUGAAAACUCGAGGCUCAACCUCGAGACGCCGGUGGAAACUGCAAAGCUAGAGUCCGGAAGAGGAGAGUGGAAUUCCUGGUGUAGCGGUGAAAUGCGCAGAUAUCAGGAAGAACACCCGUGGCGAAGGCGGGUCUCUGGGCCGGUACUGACGCUGAGACGCGAAAGCGUGGGGAGCGAACAGG